UUUCUUCAUCAUCUCCCUGAUUGACAUCGCACAGCUUUCAAAUAUCUAAUAGUAAGAAACUUAUAUUAUUUGCAUUUACUAGUGUUCUUGACUGGGAACAGGUUGUUCGGCUUGCUCCAGUGGUCGAGAAAACUAUAGCGUCAGGAAUGAAUAUUGUAUAUAAGGAAUGCAAAUGCUGCUUUAUGAAAAAGUCCUUCCUCAUGUAACUUAUGGAUCAAAUGUUGGUUCAAGUUGGAGAAUAUCAUCAAUAUUUGGUGGCUCGGACAAUCGUCCAUCUAUAGAAGACAAUUUCAUUAGCAAACAAUUCAGUGAUCCUGUACAGAGCAUGGGCCAUGCUUUCUGAAUGAUCCACUUGAGAGAGAUAUUGGAGGCGUUACCACUUGAUGCUGAGACAGUUGAAAGGCCUUUGGUGUUAAUAGGAGGAUGAGGCUAGUUUUGUUGCCUUUUGGUAUGAUCAUUGGCAAUUGUACCUGGCUGUCAAUUUUUGGUGUCCGAUCCUUCAUAAUUUUGUCAAAUGAGAUCAUCACUUGUGUAUAGUAUUAUUGCCAUUAUCUUGGAGAAUUCUUGUCAUUUUCUCACAAGGAUGAUGUUCCUCUUUGAUGUAUAUUUCACCACUUUUACUAUACUAGUCCUUGUUGAGCAUAAAA